rnacentral:lncRNA from 1 species
CUGCAAUUUGGAGAUAAGACUUAACCAAUUUCUGGGGGUUUUCCCUGAAUUUUUCACAACUGGGGGAUGUUUUAUCAGCUUGUCUGUCAAAGGACUUUGGUAAGUAUAGAAUCUUAACCAUUGCUAGUUAGCAAUUCUUUUUCCUACUCUAGACAGCAGUUUGGCCCUAUCAAAAGGGUGAGGAAAAAAACAGCUUUUUGCACUUCAUGAUGAGGAGGUGUGAGAUAUUUUAGCUUAUUUUAUGUGCGUGUUACCGCUUUAUAAAGAAAUCCUAUUUAAAGGAAACUUUUAAAAUGAUAUCAGAUUUUGCUAGUUGCUGGAAAUUGAUUUAUUCUAAAAUUUAAGACUAUCUUACACGUUUGGUAAAGACAGUGCACAAAUAGAAAUAUUUAAAUUUCAAGAAUUGGUCUUAUUCACAGAUUAUAGUAUUGCCUCAUUUCUAGUAAGACAUCUGUCUUGUGCUAAAAUAGUUACUUUAAACUUAUAUUAAUUGUGACAAGGCAAUCUCACAUUGAAGUCCAAUAUAUAAAACUAAUUUAAAAACGGGACUUAACUUGUAUAUCAUAGAUUCCCAAGUACAGUUUGAAAACUUGUGCUACUAAGUCUUUAACUAUUGCAGCACUUUAUGCUGUGGUCUCUAAUCCAGCAAAUUUAAGGAACCAGGAAACAACCAAGAAUUUAGAAGGAAGUGAUGCACAAGCUAUCUUAAUGGAUGCUGUUAGAGCCUAGGAAGCAAAAUUGUUUCAGUGCUUCUCAAUCAGAGGCAGUAACCCUCCCUUCUAGAGGAUGCUACGAAAUGUGAAGGGACACCUUUUUGGUUGUCUUAUUUGCUGGGGGGGUUUCUGCUGGCAUUUCAACCUAAAGACCGCUCCCUCCUGCAGUAUAUACAACAGCCUGGCAUUAUGAAGAAUUAUCUCUCCCUGCCCGUAAACCCCCAGUGUACAUAUUAUCUUAUGUCAAGAAACAGGGCAAAUUACCGGUAGAAGCAAAAUUAGACAGGCAAGUUGGGUAAACUGAUGGAAUACUUGAUGGGGAGACUAAUUUCAGUAUUCCAAGGUUAGCUGGUAAGGUGCAAUAAAGGUUCCAGUAGCUCACAUAAUAGCAUUUGUAAAUCAGUAAUUAAUUCUGAAUCAGAUUAAAGGGCUCUCUCCUAGUAUACACAAUUAGUUUAGGGCAGAUAAACCUCUUAUAUAUUAAUAACAUCAAGUUGAGAUUUUGAUUAGCAAAGAAUAAGCUCAAAUAUCUGAAAAGAUGACAGUGAAAAACUGAAAAAAAUAAGUCUACCGGUAAUUUCCCGAUAGUUUUUGAGUGUUGCUUUCACAGCAAAUGCUUUAUUACUUGUGAGAAAGUUUGUAAGACUUGAAGGCCGCUUCUGCUUUCUAAUCCCAGUUCCUCACAUAUUGAAAUCUUGUAUAUUUUGUGAAGUUCUAGUAUGUUUUGCUUAACGUGAUAACUAAAAUUAGUUUGCACCAUAUAGUAACUGAGUGGGGAGAGAUAAAAGCAAGGAUUUUAACAUUGAUCCUCAGCAAAAAAGAAUUUGCUAUAACUAGUCUUGUUUAUUUAAAAAAAAAAAAAAGUGUAUUUUACUGUUUUCUGUAUUAAGUAAUUCUGUAGCUGCAUGGCAGUCUUUUCUUUUAUAAAUAUAUAGCUGUUAUUGUUCCUGUUGUAUCAGUGCAUAUAGAUGAAAUAAGUACCAUUUAAAAAAAAAAAAAAAAACAACUUUGUGUCCUUACCAAUUACUUCCCCAUAUCUCCCAUUCCCACUUGUUUCUUGAAAAAUUUGCUCUCCUUGUUUUCUGUUUUGCCACUCAGACUGUUCUAUCAAGCUCACUAAGUCCUUGUCAAUAUCCUUACCAUCCUUGAACUGUUACUUUAGAUUGAGGAGAUUUUAGUUCCAGGUAUGCUUUCUUAGUCUUCUUUGUAGGCACCUCUUCCCUUAAAUAUCUGUUCUUAUUUUUUUUUCAAGGCUACCUACUCUCCCUUGCCUUAUCUCCCUUCCAUCUCCCUAGCCAAUCUCAUCUCCUUCCAUGGCUUCAGUUACCACCUGUAUGCAAAUACUCCCAAAUUCAUAUUUCUUUUCUGGAUUUUUCCCAAGUCAUAUAUUUAAUUGCUAACAAAUCCACCUUGCUGCCUCACAGGCACCAAAACACAUCAUUGAUCUUGACCCCAAACCUCCUGCUCAUUGUUCCUCUUUUCUUCAGUAAACAGAAUUACUACUACCAACCAUCCAAUUGCCCUUACCCAAGCCAAAAACUGAGUCAUUCUGUUCAUGCCAGUCCUAUGCUUUAAUCAUUGCCCUUAGAAUAUAAUAUAAAUUUUUAUUUAUCUUUCAGGUCUCAGUUUAUAUGUACCUUCAUCUAGGUAGCCUUUGUUGAUGCCUCUAGACUAGUUCCCCUGAACUAAAUUCCCUACAUACACUUAGUUCUUAUUACUGGUUAUUGAUCACUGCUAGACUAAGCUUUACAAGGGCAGGGACCAUAUAAACCUUGCUCACUAUUUUAUCUUUAGCAGUUAGCACAAUGCCUGGCAUUUUAAGAAAUGUUUGAAUAAAUAAAUAUUUGUGUAGUGUUUUACAAUCUUUGAAGCUCUAGCACAGUCGCAUUUGACCUUCACAGUCACCCUACCUGUUCACUAGGUAGUUGUAAAACACAUUGCAAAUUAACAAUAAAACUAAGUUCUUUGUGACUAGGGACCUCAUUAUUGUAUUCCUAGAAUUUAGUGCAGUGCUUAGCAUGUGGUUCACAAUGUGAAUGUUGUCAAGGAAACAAACUGAGAUUGCAAUUUUCCCUAGUAAACANCAGUAAUUAAAAAGUUACAUUCAGUAUUAGAGAAAGAUAAUGCCACAUAAGAGUUAAUAUCCAUUUUUCCUUUUGUAGGCAUCAACCCUAGGAGAAAAUGGCAUGCUAUUUAUUUUGCUACUUUCCUUUACAGAUGAUUUCUGGCUCUUCUGGAAUUUAAAAGUAAGUAAAUUUAACAAAAUAGAAGAAUGACUUCAUCCUCUGGUCACUAGUUAUUCAGUUCAUUUGCUUUCCCACCUGCAUAAGGUUCUUAUCACCUCUGCAAGGAAGAUAACCCAAAAGUGCUGUAUAGUUAAUUCAUACUUUUAGAUAUGCUAUAUUUCUUUGCUUUCAUAUUUCCAUGCCUCUCUGAACUUAAUUUCUGGGUAACAGGACUUCAGUCUUAAAUAGGGGAGCCAUACCCUUAGUCUUUUUCCUUAAACUGUUCUAAUUUACAGGAUUAACUACCAUUAUACUCUUAGUUGGAUUUUUAAUCUGAGUCACAUUAAUUCAUUCAGAGAUCUUAACAGUAGAUAUGGCAGUCAUCCAGUGAUUUGAUCCUUGCUGUAGAACUAUUUAAUCAACCUUUAAGUGAAAGGAUUUUUCACUUUUGUCUUAUAAUUGAAAAGUUGCUUCAUUCUACCCAGUAAGUAUUUGAGUUUAUGAUUCUAUUUCUUUCCAUUUCUGCCUGUAAACUGACAAGUUCUUUUCUGAGUUAUUUCUUCUCUACAUUUUGUCAGAUGCAGCCAAAAUCAACCACAAAAUAAUUUGUUUUUCUUUUUAUUUAGUAAAGGGUAGAUUAUCAGCCUUCUAGUUUAUCUCCAGGAAUAGUUUGGCCUCUCCUUAAUAGCAAUUGUCCCUGUGUAAGUUAUUUCUUUCAUCCUCCAGUAGUAAUUUCCUGAAUGCCUGCCAACUAAUCACUAGGCCAUUGGGUUCAGUAUUCAGUAACCGCUACAAAAUCUUAGGGUUUCAAAUAACUUGUCUCUUGCAAAUAACUUGUCUAGGGACUUUGUUCUAGGUAAGGGAUUGGCAAACUACAGCACAUAGUCAAAAUCCAUCCUGAUUUAUGUUUCUCUCUCUCUCUCUCUUUUUU